CUGUAUGGAAGGUCUCAUCAAUCAUGUUUCAAUAAAUGUAAUAAGUAGAUAAAGCAACUGUGUAAGCAUUGAGUUCAGGGGCUCAUUAUUUCAAUAGGAACAAAAGGAAUGUUUCGUCAUUAAUAGAUAACGGAUUUUUAAACGCCUUACAUCGAUGAGGUUUAUAUAAACCAGACGUCAAUCAUCAUAACUUGAGAUUAAAGAGACAUGGAUUUGAAGUGGGUAAUUUUACUGCUGUUGGAUCUCAGUGCAGUUUUUGCAGAAUACGUGGAAAUCCAAAGACAUCAUGAGAUGGAAACGGCAUUAUUUGAUCCUGAUGGCUUUCAACGGGACUUCUGGGUUUGGCGAUCAGAAGCUUCAGGCUUAAAGACUCUUCGUUUGGUCGACUCACGGCAAAGAUAUUUGGUCCUUAUUAAGAUUUGUAUUGAGCCUGUAAAUGAAUCGGACUUUGUUACUAUUCAUCUUGAUGACAUAAGAUAUGCCAAUGACGGACCGUACGACGUUAUUUUCGUGUCUUUCGACAAUGAACCAUGGUCGGUGUAUUCUACAUUCGAAAAAUGGGGUUAUGGCCAUGAAUGGAACAUCUUCAGAAACACUGGACGAAACGGCGAGCCUAAGAAACUACCUAAAGGGGAAUACUUCAUUGGAAUAAGUGUGCAGACAGAUAAGUGGGGAAUCGAGUUGGAUAAAAUUAGAUUGAUAGCGGAAUACCAGUCCCUUAACUCGAAACUAUUUUGUGGCACAACUAUGUUUGAUCGAGGCCCAGACUUCUCGUAUACAGACGACAAGAUGUUUCAUGAUGAUUAAACACUACGCUUAAUAUCUGAAUUACAGUGUGUAAAUAACAAUAGUUUGUACUUCAAUUUUAAAGAAAGUUACGCACAUGAUAAACAUUUUAAACACCUGUAUAAAACAAAUUGUUCUCAAAGAUAGAGCCAAAGCUCUAGCUUGGACACAUACAUGUAGUGUUUUGCCGAUCUACAAGAAUGAUAUUUAACCGUGUGGUCAGUAUUUCAAAAGCAUAUCUACGAACAGGAGUGUGGUGAAAAUGAGAUAUAUGUAGUAAAUAUAGAACAUUUACAAUGAAUGAAGUAAUGGUGAUUUUAGGUAUAUACGCUAGAUACAUUGGAUAGCAUACAUGAACGUAUAAUAUGUCAACAAAAGUGUCUUGUUACCAAGUGGAAAAACUAGUUGUUGGUUAGUAUUUGUAAAUAGAAAGUUUAAUUAUCUUUCACAAAACCAAUCUUUUAUUACAUGAUUUAUUUUCGGUUAAUGUUAAAUGAGGCUUUUUCGCGCAAAUUGUUAAUUUCACUGAGAUCAUCAUCGUCCAUCAAUGAGAAUAGGCGAAACAUAUUUACUUAAUAUUUUCGCUUUGAACAUUGAUGAAUAACAACAGUUUUAUUUACAUAUUUUUCUAUUUACCAUUCAUCUUCCAUACUCAAUCCAAUUUGAAACUGUUGUUUUAGAGUUUAAAAGCGUGUUUUUUUGUUUUCAUGACGCAAUACAUAACGUGAUAAAACAGCAUUAAAGAAAUAGUAUCAAUGAAUAUUCAUUCGGUCGACCAAUAUGUUAAAAAAAAGAUAAUUGUAUAGUAAACAUAAAUGAUUAUUGUUUAAUUAAUCACAUAAACAUCGCAAAUAUAUGGAAAAAAAACGAUUAUAAUUUGUCGAAAGAAUACUAAUUUAAAUUGUUGUUUACUUAUUUUGAUUAAGUGUGCAGGUAUUUUUCUCAUUCUAUUACCUUUGUGCUUUGUAGCUAAAACACCGAAUCGAUAUAUCAUUGUUAUGGCAUCAAAAUCUUAAGCCGCGUCUCUGCUCGACUUAUUUAUACCAUAAUCAUUGAUAAAAACUUAUUAUGAAAGUUGUUUGUAUACACACAUUUAAACGUUUGCUAUUUUUCGUAAUUCAUGUUCUGGUUGUUUGCUUGUUUUUGUUGUUUUCUACAAAAAAAAUAUUCUGCAAAUGUUCUGUAUUAGAUACUGUUUUGUAUAUAUUAUACCUCAUUUUAUUUUACUUAUAUAUUAAAUGUGACGUUAGCCGGUCAAUAUAGUAUGCGGGCCAAUAUUUUAUAUAAUAUACAUAUUUUUUUAUGUCCGGACCUGUCAAAAAAUAUGAUAUGGACUGCUAUUGUCAUAAAAUGGUGAUUGCGGCUUUGCGAUUUUCACCACGGCGAAAAGUUGAUGUUUGUACAUUGUCUGCUUUGUUCAAUAAAACACAUCAAAAACGCUUUAAAAAAUGAAUAGUUGUAUAAAUGUUUGAUAUAAUAAAAGAAAUAUAACAAACCACUUCGGCUUACGCCUUGGUCCAUAUACACUUUCGGAAGCUGACCAGCCGGUCCUUAUAAUCAUAUGAUCCUUAGUGGUGUGUAAUAUUUCUUUAUUAUUAAUAAACUUUUACGUAUUUGACGCGGUCCGGGGACAAUCGCGGUACCAACACCAGACAAAUGACGACAAUAUAUGCCAAAACUCGGCCAAUACCGACCAAACUCGGCCAAUUUGAGUUUCCUCCGUUUUGAUUGUCUACAAAACUCGUCUUAUAUAGGAUUUGCAAAAUGGACUAUUUUCAUUGGCUGUCGAAACUUGCCUAAUAUGAGAAAUAUGCUGGAAAUUAUUUUAAAAGGUAGCCAUUUUGUUUUCCGUUUUAGACUGUUUGAUAAUUUUGUGCGUCGUUUAAAACUAUUUGGAAUUUCUAGCCUAUUAAAUACUUCAACCACUUUUUA